rnacentral:rRNA from 1 species
GACGAGGCACUACGGUGCUGAAGCAACAAAUGCCCUGCUUCCAGGAAAAGCCUCUAAGCAUCAGGUAACACGAAAUCGUACCCCAAACCGACACAGGUGGUCAGGUAGAGAAUACCAAGGCGCUUGAGAGAACUCGGGUGAAGGAACUAGGCAAAAUGGUGCCGUAACUUCGGGAGAAGGCACGCUGACACGUAGGUGAAGUGAUUUACUCAUGGAGCUGAAGUCAGUCGAAGAUACCAGCUGGCUGCAACUGUUUAUUAAAAACACAGCACUGUGCAAACACGAAAGUGGACGUAUACGGUGUGACGCCUGCCCGGUGCCGGAAGGUUAAUUGAUGGGGUCAGCGUAAGCGAAGCUCCUGAUCGAAGCCCCGGUAAACGGCGGCCGUAACUAUAACGGUCCUAAGGUAGCGAAAUUCCUUGUCGGGUAAGUUCCGACCUGCACGAAUGGCGUAAUGAUGGCCAGGCUGUCUCCACCCGAGACUCAGUGAAAUUGAACUCGCUGUGAAGAUGCAGUGUACCCGCGGCAAGACGGAAAGACCCCGUGAACCUUUACUAUAGCUUGACACUGAACAUUGAGCCUUGAUGUGUAGGAUAGGUGGGAGGCUUUGAAGUGUGGACGCCAGUCUGCAUGGAGCCGACCUUGAAAUACCACCCUUUAAUGUUUGAUGUUCUAACGUGGACCCGUAAUCCGGGUUGCGGACAGUGUCUGGUGGGUAGUUUGACUGGGGCGGUCUCCUCCUAAAGAGUAACGGAGGAGCACGAAGGUUGGCUAAUCCUGGUCGGACAUCAGGAGGUUAGUGCAAUGGCAUAAGCCAGCUUGACUGCGAGCGUGACGGCGCGAGCAGGUGCGAAAGCAGGUCAUAGUGAUCCGGUGGUUCUGAAUGGAAGGGCCAUCGCUCAACGGAUAAAAGGUACUCCGGGGAUAACAGGCUGAUACCGCCCAAGAGUUCAUAUCGACGGCGGUGUUUGGCACCUCGAUGUCGGCUCAUCACAUCCUGGGGCUGAAGUAGGUCCCAAGGGUAUGGCUGUUCGCCAUUUAAAGUGGUACGCGAGCUGGGUUUAGAACGUCGUGAGACAGUUCGGUCCCUAUCUGCCGUGGGCGCUGGAGAACUGAGGGGGGCUGCUCCUAGUACGAGAGGACCGGAGUGGACGCAUCACUGGUGUUCGGGUUGUCAUGCCAAUGGCACUGCCCGGUAGCUAAAUGCGGAAGAGAUAAGUGCUGAAAGCAUCUAAGCACGAAACUUGCCCCGAGAUGAGUUCUCCCUGAGACUUAGAGUCUCCUGAAGGAACGUUGAAGACGACGACGUUGAUAGGCCGGGUGUGUAAGCGCAGCGAUGCGUUGAGCUAACCGGUACUAAUGAACCGUGAGGCUUAACCUU